UAACCUAGCAAAUAUAUAACCUUAUGUUGUGAAUUCAAGAAUUUUUGGCUAUUACAAAAAGAUGCACAUACAUGUACCACUAUACAUGAACAUCAACUUAGGACAAGUACAUUGGUAUUGUCUAAUAGACAGCCUAAUGCAUUGACACGUAAUUUUGAGAUGAUUUAAGAAGCAACAUGUAUAAUGGGUUGUCUUUUUUAAGUUAUCUCAUAUUAAUUAUAUUUUCUUAAUUUGCGCAUAGAAAAAAAUAUUAUGAGUUCUAUGGCAACCACAACUUGUACAAUGGUGGAGUCGUCGUCUCGUAAUUCUAUAUUUUAGUUUAUGAGGCGGUUGUCAAUGACCAAUUUCUCUUUCCUCUCAUCCACGUCAGCAAAAUCCUAUGUGGCAUUAAAUAGCGGGCUAAGGAGAUUUAGCGGCUGGACUCUAAACAGCUAAUAGUGGGCUAAAUUGUAUAUGAGAAAAAAUAGCGAUAUCUUGCCUCAAAUAGCUAUAGCGGGCUAUAUCACUCCUACAAAUAACACCGUUGAAUAAUGCACUUUGGAGUACAUGUGUAACUAUAAAUCACCGGCACCAGGGCAGUGGUUAUUUUGAACUUUAGUGGGGUGAAGUGAUACGGUUACAUUACACCUCCACCGCCGUAUCAAGAUAUCAAAGUUUCUUACCCACUUUUGUCAU
rnacentral:lncRNA from 1 species